rnacentral:rRNA from 1 species
AAUCAACGCUGGCGGCGUGCCUAACACAUGCAAGUCGAACGCGAAAGGGGAGCAAUCCCUGAGUAGAGUGGCAAACGGGUGAGUAACACGUGGGUGACCUGCCUUCGAGUGGGGGAUAACGUUCCGAAAGGAACGCUAAUACCGCAUGACAUCCUGCUUUUGGAGAAGCGGAGAUCAAAGCUGGGGAUUCGCAAGAACCUAGCGCUUGAAGAGGGGCCCGCGCCUGAUUAGCUAGUUGGUGGGGUAACGGCUCACCAAGGCUUCGAUCAGUAUCCGGCCUGAGAGGGCGGACGGACACACUGGGACUGAGACACGGCCCCAGACUCCUACGGGAGGCAGCAGUGGGGAAUUGUUCGCAAUGGGCGCAAGCCUGACGACGCAACGCCGCGUGGAGGAUGAAGAUUUUCGGAUCGUAAACUCCUGUCGAGUGGGAAGAAUAGCUUCCGGGCGAAUAUCCCGGAAGUCUGACGGUACCACUAAAGGAAGCCCCGGCUAACUCCGUGCCAGCAAGCCGCGGUAAUACGGGGGGGG